rnacentral:lncRNA from 1 species
CCCCCACAGCCUUAUUAGGAACAGGAGAAGAACCUCAUCCUGACACGAGCCGAAAUCGACUGUCGGGAACAAGGGGAGGACCUCAUCCCGAUGCAAACAAAGACUCGGUUGAUCAACAAGGAGGAAAGCUUCCUCAAUGACUCCUCCACACUCUCACGGCCCCGUCAAGAGCAGAGGGAAGACCCUCACUCAAACACAAAAAGAGGGGAGACAAAAAGAAAAAGCGACGAACUUCACCAGUGAUAGGUGAAAAAUGAACCACAUCAAAGGCACA